CCCCUAGAUGUUCUGGGCCGCACGCGCGCUACACUGAACAGUUCAACAAGUCUUAACCUUGGCCGAUAGGUCUGGGUAAUCUUUGAACGCUGUUCGUGACUGGGAUAGACCUUUGCAAUUAUGGGUCUUCAACGAGGAAUUCCUAGUAAACGCAAGUCAUCAGCUUGCAUUGAUUACGUCCCUGCCCUUUGUACACACCGCCCGUCGCACCUACCGAUUGAAUGGUCCGGUGAAGCCUCCGGAUUGGCGUGCACCCUCGGGUGCUGCCGAGAAGUUGGCUAAACCUUACCAUUUAGAGGAAGGUGAAGUCGUAACA
rnacentral:rRNA from 1 species